rnacentral:rRNA from 1 species
GUGGGGAAUAUUGCGCAAUGGGGGAAACCCUGACGCAGCGACGCCGCGUGAGCGAAGAAGGCCUUAGGGUUGUAAAGCUCUGUUUUAAGGGACGAAUGUCGUGGGGAGUAAUAUGCUCUGCGAAUGACGGUACCUUAAGAGGAAGCCCCGGCUAACUACGUGCCAGCAGCCGCGGUAAGACGUAGGGGGCGAGCGUUGUCCGGAAUUACUGGGCGUAAAGAGCACGUAGGCGGGAACUUAAGUCAGGUGUGAAAGGCCGGGGCUAAACUCCGGGGUUGCACUUGAAACUGGGUUUCUUGAGGGCAGGAGAGGAAAGCAGAAUUCCUGGUGUAGCGGUGAAAUGCGUAGAAAUCAGGAGGAAUACCAGUGGCGAAGGCGGCUUUCUGGACUGACCCUGACGCUGAGGUGCGAAAGCGUGGGUAGCAAACAGGAUUAGAAACCCUGGUAGUCC